rnacentral:rRNA from 1 species
CCUACGGGGCGCAGCAGUGAGGAAUAUUGGUCAAUGGCCGAGAGGCUGAACCAGCCAAGUCGCGUGAGGGAUGACGGCCCUACGGGUUGUAAACCUCUUUUGUCGGGGAGCAAAGAGAGUCACGUGUGGCUCAUUGAGAGUACCCGAAGAAAAAGCAUCGGCUAACUCCGUGCCAGCAGCCGCGGUAAUACGGAGGAUGCGAGCGUUAUCCGGAUUUAUUGGGUUUAAAGGGUGCGCAGGCGGCACGGCAAGCCGGCGGUCAAAUCGCGGGGCUCAACCCUGCCCAGCCGUCGGAACUGCCGGGC